CAUACCUGAGACACAAGAGCGAGCCAAUGAGCAGUUUGUUUUCAAAUGUUUAGAGAGUGAGUCACUGUCAUGAAGGAGACUGGUAGGCUUUUUGCAGAUGGCCUGUUUGUUCCUUCUGUAAAUAUGCCCUUCCUGUUGCUUUCACCCCAGUCACACCACCAUCAUUUCAUUUCAUUAUGCAAGUGACUGACUGUCUUCACUAUUUUCUGAGAAGCACCAAAUGUUAGGGACAUGGACUGAAGAUGAGUGAAAAAUAAGGCCUAAUCAUGAAUUUGCCAACAGAUGUGGUGAAGGGCUGUUCUGUGCCUUCGAGGAUGUUUAGAGGCACUUCACUAGAUGUCAGCGACGCAUACACACACAGACACACCAGUUGUGACAACCAAAAAUAUCUCCAAGACAUGACCAAAGGUUCCCUAAGUGCAGAUGGGCCCCAGUGACAAUCAUCCAGAAUGUAAGCCAACCCACCUCCCUGUGACUUCUUACUCACUAAAGAUUAUGAUACCUUGGUGGGGAUAGAUAGCAUAAUGGUUAUGCAAAGAGAUUCUCAUGCCUGAAGCUUCAAAGUCCCAGGUUCUGUCUCCCAUACCACCAUAAACCAGAGCUGAACAAAGCACUGGUUAAAAAAAAAAAAAAAAAAGAUUAUGAUACCUUAAUCGCUUCCCCUUACUAUUGCUUGUGACUUUUUUUUUAAACAUUUUUUUAAUUAUCUUUACCUAUUUAUUUAUUGGGUAGAAACAGCCAGAAAUUGAGAGGGAAAGGGGUGAGAAAGAAGAGAGAGACACCUGCAGCACUGCUUCACCACUCGCAAAGCUUUCCCCCUGCAGGUGGGGACCAGGGGCUUGAACAUGAUAACACGUGCAUUCAACAAGGUGCGCCACCACCAGGCCCCGACUUUCUUAACGACUUGAUUUCCAACACCUUUCCCCUUCUGUUCCCUAACUUCCUUGCACCUGCAGUGGGCAGGUUUUCCACUUUGCAGCUAGCUCUCCUGAUCUGAUGAGGUUUUGAUGUUGAUGCCAACAAAAACCUGACAUUUCUGAAAUCUUGGUUUUAAGUCUCUUUUCCUUUACUAAUUAACCUACAGUUUUUCUGCUCUGAAGUUCUUCAACCCAUUGAGAUUCCAGUCUUUUUGACUUGAUUUGAUAGGACACAGAGAAGUUGAGAAGAUAGAGAAGGAGAGAAAAAGAGUGACAUCUACAGCACUCCUUCACCACUCAGGACAGAGAGAAAUGGAGAGAAGAGGGGAAGACAGGAGGAGAGAAAGACACCUGUAGACCUGCUUCACUCCUUCUGAUGUGACCACCCCCAGCCACCAAGCUGCAGAUGCUGCCAGGAUGACAACCUGACUUCCCCAGAGAGAUGACCUCAUCAAAGUAUCCUGGAAGCCCACCUCUCCAGAGCCCUGGCCCACUAGGGGAUGAGAGAGACAGGCUGGGUGGAUGGAUCAACCUGCCCACGCCCAUGUUCAGUGGGGUAGCAAUUACAGACGCCAAACCUUCCACCUUCUGCACCCCAUAAUGACCCUGGGUCCAUGAUCCCAGAGGGAUAAAGAAUAGGGAAGCUUUCAAGGGAGGGGAUGGGAUACGGAAUUCUGGUGGUGGGAACUAUGUGGAACUGUACCCCUCUUAGCCCAUAAUCUUGUCAAUAUUUUUUAUUUUGUAUUGUUUUUUAAUUUUAUUUAUUUUAUUUAUUCCCUUUUGUUGCCCUUGUUUUUUUUUUAUUGUUGUAGUUAUUAUUGUUGUCAUUGUUGGAUAGGACAGAGAGAAAUGGAGAGAGGAGGGGAAGACAGAGAGGAGGAGAGAAAGAUAGACACCUGCAGACCUGCUUCACCGCCUGUGAAGCGACUCCCCUGCAGGUGGGGAGCCGGGGUUCGAACCGGGAUCCUUAUGCCGGUCCUUGUGCUUUGCGCCACCUGCGCUUAACCCGCUGCGCUACAGCCCGACUCCCUUAUUUUGUAUUUUAUAAAUAUUUUUUUAAAAAAAAGAAGUGAUGGAAUAUAUAUCCCAUGGAAUAAUAUUCUUCAAUAAAAAAAGAGGAUAUUGUGUCCUUUUGGACAAAAUGGAUAGAACUAGAAAUGAUUAUUCUUAGCAAAAUAAGAGAUGAAAAACCAGAUGGUUUCACUCAUAUGUGGAAUAUAGAGAA